rnacentral:tRNA from 1 species
ACAAAGUGUGGCUUAGCUAAAGCACCUUGCUUACACCAAGGAGACAUCUGUGAGACCCGGAUCACUUUGA